AUCCAUAAUCCAUCACUUGGUCUUGAAACCUGAUUUCUCGUCGAGUGGUGUGUGUGCAAUGAACCUGUCGACUGCACAAAGUUUUAGCUUCAAGAUUCAUCAAGGCUAUCGAGAUGAUGCAUCAUGUCAUGUUCGGCUCAACGUUGGUUGAGCUACUUACCCUUCAUCAAAACAAAUUCUGCAGGGAUCACAAUGACGUAUGAGAUAGAAUAUAUAGAUAGCCUUUGUGUAGAUCAUAGCUCUAACUAAAAGAAUCAUCAUUAUAAUUAAUACAUGUGGAGUACUACUACCCUUAUAAGUUUUCGUGAUCUCACCUGCAAAAUAAAUUAUUAUAGCAAUAGAAUCCCAUGAUUGCAAUCUAGCUAAUAACGACCUUCCUUUAACCAUGGGUUCACGGAACAUGGUUUUAGUACUGUAGUGAUUGCUCUAAAAGGACAAGUAAAUGAUCGAUCCUUUUUGUGAAAAAAAAAAAAGGGCCUUCUUGUGUGUGUGUGUGUGUGCAUCCCUUGAAACAAGCAGGCCAAAUAACAACUUAAUUCUUGCUAUGUGUAGGGGUGCUUGCUUCAACUAUGAGAGUCAUUACCAAAGCCAUCUACCCACGGGAUGCCCAUGGGCUAAGGAAAAGCGCAAUUCUGUACUUCACCGUGGGCAUUGUGAUGAUGGUGAUCAAUAUCGUCUGCUACAACAUGGCGGACAGGCUUCCUGUCGUCCGAUACUACAGACACAUCAAGCUACAGGCAAUGGAAGACAAGAGGAACGAGAGAGGCCCCGCGAGUGGGUCUGCACUGGGGUCAACCCUGUGGCACAUCACGGGGAGGAUCAAAUGGAUUGGGCUUGGAAUCUUCCUCACCUAUGCUGUGACACUAUCCAUAUUCCCGGGAUAUAUCACGGAGGAUGUUCACUCCGAGUUGCUCAAGGACUGGUAUCCCAUCAUGCUCAUCGCCGGAUACAACGUGUUUGAUCUGGUAGGGAAGUCUCUGACGGCGGUCUACCUCGUUGAGAAUGCCAACGUUGCGGUAUCUAGCUGCGUCGCAAGGCUUCUCUUCUACCCACUUUUUGUUGGUUGUUUGCGUGGCCCCAAGUUCUUCCGCACGGAAGUCCCGGUCACCGUUUUGACAUGCCUCCUGGGGCUAACCAAUGGGUAUUUGACUUCAGUGCUGAUGAUAAUGGCACCCAAGUCCGUGCCGAUACAGCAUUCAGAGACGGCAGGGAUUGUCAGUGUAUUGUUCCUAGCAAUUGGCCUGUCUUUUGGGUCAAUAGUUUCUUGGUUUUGGGUCAUUUAGGUGCAGUUUUUACUCACGUAAACAAGCUACUGCUAUAUAGUGUAUGUAACGUACCAAUGUCCGCAAGAAUGAUGCCUUUAUAUGCUUUCUUGCUUCUAUUUAACCAUGGCAAUCGACAUGCAUUUCUGCUUAUUCAAGUGUUAUGUUCUACGAUAAGAUGCAUACACAACCAUGCAACAAAAACACUGUUAUGUUCUGAGAUUGUAUAGAAAAUAAUUUCUCAAUCACAACAUUUAAGCAAUAUACAAUCCAAAAAAUCAAGCAGCGUUUCAAGAUCCCUUGAUCGAUCAUGAAAAAGCAUCAGAACGAGAAAACCGGAAGAACGAAGCAGCGAUUCAAGAUUCNNNNNNNNNNNNNNNNNNNNGAUCGAUCAUGAAGAAGCAUCAGAACGAGAAAACCGGAAGAACAAAGCAGCGGUUCAAGAUCCUUGAUCGAUCAUAAAGAAGCAUGAGAAGGAGAAAACCAGAAGAACAAAGCAACGAUUCAAGAUCCUUCGUAGCAAAAGGAUCAUAGGCAAAAAGAAGUUCUAACCAUCAAGAACAACAGCGACGGGCACGAAAACAAGCAGGGUAAGCCGUCAAGACAGAGAGAGAGAGAGAGAGAGAGAAGGGGAAUCACGGCCCACCGUUACCGGACGAAGAAGCCGAGGGCGUUCCACUUCCCUGGAGUCCCCCUCGCCUCCCUGCAUUACCGGCAUCGGCGUCGUGGAAUAAAGAUAGCGUCAUCACGGACACAACUUUAAACGCAGCUUUUUCUGUUGGGAGGGCAGUUGGAACAACACGACCAAAGACCUCUGCUUCACACGUCCUUCGCAGCAGCAGGCAGUUG
rnacentral:lncRNA from 1 species